UGAGAGAGAUCGGACGAGGAUUCAUGCCACCUAGCAGAGCCAUCAUCCCUGACGUGCGAAAUCCGCCACUACAAAGGUAAUCAUAGCAACCCUGUCUCAUUGCUUCUUUUGCUUCGUCGGUUGAUGCAAUUAGCACUUGAGAAAAUGCAGUUCCUAAUGUGUUCACCGUCGCUGACAUUGGCUUCACCAUAAAAAAAAACAAGCUUUCUUAAAUUUUUGAAGUUGUUAAUAGGUUUAAAAUUUUAGAAUGUUCAUCAUAUUUUAGCCUUGGAUGAUUAGGAUGUGAUGAAGGCUUACCUUGCGGAUGCUAUAAAAGGACUUAAUGACUUCUGAGACUUUGUUUGCAUCGCCGAGGUUGCUUAGUGGCUGGAGAAGGCGACGUAGAAUGAGAAUAUCAGACAAUAAAACCAUCAUUCCAGCCGCGACUGAUGGAUGACGCAUGUUGAAUGCAUCUCCCAACACAAUCACUCCUUUUUUAUUGCUUAAAGUAGCUGUCAUGCGCUUUGCUGGAACCGCUUUUAUGUGUGCUCCCUCAUCUAGACCUUUCAAGAAUAUUUUGCGAAGUUUUGGAGGUACCUUCAAAAAAUGUGUAAGUAGGUGUUUAUAUACAUGGAGUUAUGGACUUUUUGCAAAUAUAAGAAUAUAUGACGUACAUGUGACUUAUCUAUGUACCAGUAACACCAACUUAGUUAAAUCAUAUGCUUAGUUCCUUUUUUAAUUAAUCAGCACAUUGCGUACCUGAGGAGCUAGAGUGUUCUUCGCGAAAGUAGCCAUUUCACCUUUUGCAAUUGAAGGAAAAUUGUCGGGGAAAAGCUCAAAACCACAACGAACAUCAGUGCUGCUUAUUUGGUACAACAUGAUGGAGGAGGGUUUAGACAUUAUUAAAUGAAGGUUUUCGGGAUCAUCAAGCCGACAGUUCUUCGAGAUGUAACCAACUUGGUAAGACAGAACUUCCGCCUAUAUCAAGUUAUAAUUCGUUAAUGCUUGUUAAACUAACUUGAAUAAAUCAUAGUAAGUAACAUAAAUUAUUACUCAUUAGUGUUUAUGUUAAAGUUGAAGUUUUUUUUUUUUCCGUUUAAAUGAGACUAUAUAAUUAUAUACUCACAUUGUUGUCGUUUAGAGACCGACGAAGGUUUGAGUAGCAACCGUCGCAUACCACAGUGAGAGGUGCCAAUGCUGUUGUUUCUUCACCUGCUUUAUUUUUGUAUGUCACUCCUUUGAUCACUCCUUUUUCUUCUAUUAACGACUUCACCGUUCCUUCUUCCAGGCGCACACUGCCAAUUUAAGAUUGGUGUAAACAAAAUCAUUGCUAUUGUCAAGUUUAGUAGUAUUUUCCAAUGUUCAAAAUUUUAUUAGGAGUUAAUUGGACCUUUGGAGGGUAUACCACCUAACUAAUUAAUUGGAGCCUAUUUAUUUGUCUUAUUUUAUAAGGAGUUAAAAUAAGUAUACAUAUUAUUAAUUAGUUGUCUAACCCACCUUGACACAAACGUUAGUUAUGUAUAAAUUUUUCCAAAUUAAAAUUAUAACUUAAAGGUUUAUAAUAUAGAAUAAGUUCAUUUUAUCAAAGUUUAUUAGCUUCCUCUAAUUGGCAUUGAAUAAGGUUUAUAUCUUUUGUAAAGUACCGAUUAGUUCACUUCCACAUGAGUAAUUAUUUUGGAUCAAUCUGAUUCUAAUAUUAUAUAAAAGUCUUGACUUUCCGAUCGGUUAUGUUUAUUAUAUGAUCUGUAAAAGGUUGAAUGGUUGCGGCAGUUGGAGUGGAGAAAUCCGUUUACGGAUUGGACCGUAGCAGUGUGGAUCCAGAAAUUUGCAGACUGCUUUUACAUAUAAAUAAAUUUGGUUUACCGCGCGGUUUGUUGUCCAACCAAAAAAUAGAACGGUUUAGUCCGCUAACGGUUUAGACCGCUUCGCCCACACCAACAACUCAAAGCCAAAAUCUCGUAACAUUUUUUGAUGUAAAAUUCUUAGCAAUUAUAAUUUGGUGAACAAAGAGAUACGUACCUAGGAAGAGAAGAAGCCUUUUGGCGCAGACUUUGGACGAAUCGGCCAUUGUGAAAAGAUCGAGCAGAAGGAUCGUAAGGAAAGUUGUUGUUGUCCACCGGAAAAGAUGCGACUGCUUCUUUGCCGUCCUUAUAAACUGCCAUCCCCGUGGCUUUUUGGGCAUCUAUACCAUCCAGACAAUCUAUAUAGAAAAACGCACAAGUUCGAUCAUCCAUCUAAGACAUAUUCAUUUAAUUCUAUAAACGCAAAUGUAAACAAACUCAUGGUCUAGUAACUAAAGAAUUCCUCAAGAAGUUGAAAGACUAUGGUUUAAGUUCUGCGAUUUAAAUCAUAGUUGGACACUAUAGCCACUUUUAAAUAACAAAUAUAUUCGAUUUUUCACAAGUUUCGAAGAUUAGCGUAUAGAAUUUGGUUCUAGAUUCUCCAAUUAAAAAUAAAAUGUAAAUGUAAAAUGAAAGUGAAACAGAGACAGACCUUGAAGGCCAAGCUGAGAAAGCAUGAAUCGUCCUCCUGGCUGCAUAAACUCACCCAUCAUUCUCUCUGGUUCUCUCAUGUCCCUCUCAAUCACAUGUACUCGGCGCCCGUCCUAUAUAUAAUCAGAAAUUAGCAUAAGGUUGUAUUAUGCAAAAACAAAACAUUGGAAUAGAAUUCUAUUAUGCAUGUAUAUAUAGUUCUAAAUUUUUUACCCUAUUCAUGCGCAAAUAGUAGAGUAGGAAAAUCGUUAACUUGAUGCAGAUUUAAUACUUGGACGUAAAACUCUGACGCCACUUUACAUACCUUAGCAAGAGCAUAUGCAAGAGCCGAGCCACCGACACCAGCCCCGACGAUGAUGACGUCAGAAGCACCGUCUCUUCUCUCCUCUGCUGCCGCAUCCGCCAAUUCCGUCGCCUUUUUCUUCCUGUUGGUAACGUAUAACACCGUCCAGGUCAGCGCGAAGGCGAGUACCGUCCAUAAACAAACGUGCGUAAAGGCCAUAUCCCAAAUCUAUUAACUAGUUCUCAAUAUGGUUUUGAUUACUAUUAAAAGGAGUAACAUGCAUAUAUAAUACAAAGUUAAGUCAGUUUGGACGUGGCAUCACCACAUAUGGUAAAUUAUGAUAUUAUUUUUUUAAAAGCAAUAAAUUGAUCUUUUGUGUUCUCCACAUAAAUCGUUAUCACUUCUAGCUGUCUACAUUGACAUAAACAGAUGAUAUUUAUAUUUCACAUACAAACAUAAGAGAUUGACCACCCUAAUUAAUGAUUUUGUCAGUAUAUAGACAAGCGAAUUUAAGGUACCACUUGAAUUAUUGAUAUCUUUGAAAACUAGUGAAUGGCGAUUAAAAUAGUAAGAGAAUUUUGCUAAAUCUGAAUGUAUAAAUCAAUGUUUUUGAUAACAGAGGGUCGGUCCAGAACAUAGACAAAAUAAGUCAUCACUUAGAGAAUCACAUUGUGGAAGAAACAUCCAAAAUUCUAUUAGAAACAUUGGACCGGCCUCAGUCCGAACUGCGGACACAAAUCAACUUUCAUUUUAGCUAAUGCUGGUUUCUUUAACCUUUUAAAGAUGAUGCAUCUAUGCUUGUUGCAUACUUGCAUGUAUUUUAUGCACACGAUGUCACAAACAAACAUUCAUGGAAAUAAAAGUAACAUACUUAUGUAUUAAUGUAUGCAAAACUCUUCCAUGGUCAACAAUCACGAUAUUGUAAAAUAUGUAGAUAUACGUACACUAUUAUUUAUCGGAAGAUCACUUAAAAAUCCACCAACUAUAUUUAUCAUUUCUAUAAAGACACAUGAUUUAUUUUUGGGUUGUAUGAAUAUAUAUAAAAAAAAGCACUUAAAAAAAAACAAAGCACUUAAAAGAACGAACAGAUACUAUACACUUUUUCUUUUGUGAAAAGUUGUAUAUAUAAAUAAAAAUGAUGUGGCUUUACAAAAAUUAUGGGUUAAGUAACAGUUUCCUUGUGGACAGAUGGACAAUUUAAUGCAAUUUAAUCUAAUGCAAUUUAAUGCUUCUAGGUGGGAUUUUUAGCAAGAAAGGCCAUUAAUGCAAUGCUUCAAAUAGAUGCUAAAUAAGAUCGAAAGAUAGGACUGAUUGGCUACGUGGAACAACAUCCACCUCAACACGAAAGCGAGUAGCGUCCAUAACCACAAGAAGUAUGGCAAAGCCAUAUUCAUUACGGUUUUGCUUAUUAAUUGCGUGAUAAUUUAGUCCUUGAUAUGGUUUAUAAGAAAAUUCAGAAAGGUUUAGUGAUAUAUAUAUAGCCAUUUCGACGUAUACCAUUUGGAGAGAAAAAAAUGGAAGAAAGCACGGCAAUGCAUCGAAUCUUCCCAGCCGCCUAAUCAAAUGGAGCGAUAAACAAUUCUCGGCGAUUAAAAUAAAUGGAGACAGGAGAUAUGAUUUAGGAAUCCAAGCAUGGUUUGACUUAAUGGGUUUCUAGGAGGGAAUGUUUAAAUUUUCGAAUUCUUUAACUUCCAAACAAACGUUGCACUUGUUGUAAAAGAGUUAUUUUUUCUUUGAAUCUAAUUUUUUUUUUUGAUAGGAAUGUUAAUAUCAUAUAAAUGAAGUUUUGAAGUUUUACAAAAGAGCUUAACCUAUGGUUGUAACCUUGCCAAAAAAGAAAUAAAAAACAAGAGUUACAAAGCAAAUUGUUGUGUGUCAGACAACAAACUAUCUAAUCCAAAGCGGCAUCAAGUUCCUGAAUUUCUUCUGGUUCCGUCUAGCCGUGAUUGUGUUACGCAGUUCCUUCUCAAUGGUUUUAUAAACUGCAGCAGGUGUGGCAGAAAUCUGGUUAUAAAUCAGAUUAUUUCGCUGCUUCCAGAUGUGGUAGACAGCGGCUUGGCUCGCCAGUUUUCGAAGGAUCGAAGGAGAGGAAUCAGUUCUCAGCCUUGUCCAAGAAAUGAGCGAUGGCCAAGUGUAGAAAAUGCAGACGGGUAAGUGCAAAUGAGACUGAAUUAAGUUCCAAACCUGCUGGCUAAACUAGCAAGUCAGAAAGAGGUGCUCAAGAGUCUCAUCGUAGUUCAAGCAAAGGCAGCAAGUAGGGGUCACAUGCAGGCCCCAAGACACCAUCCUGCUCCGGGUUGGAAGCCUAUUCAACUGAGCCAUCCACAUUGUGAAAGCAUGUCGUGGAGUGGCUCCUUUGAACCAGAUGGAGGACGCCCAACCCUUCAAAGCUGCUCUCGGCCUAAUAGAGUCCCAAGUAAUAGCAGUGGGAAAGUGAUUGUAGCUAAUACCAUGGAUAACCCAACAAUAGCUGUCAUCCCCAUUAGAAGGAUCCGGCGGAUUGACUGUGGAUAACAGAGCAUGGAGGUUGCGAGCUUGCGUUGAUCGAACAGGUGGAAGAUUCCAUCCAAAAUCAUCACAAGCGGCAGAUUAUAUUUAUAAAAAAAAAGAUAUAUAUAGAAAUAAAUAGAUUGAACAUUAUUUUUAUCGCAUUAUAUUUAAUUUUUUAAGUAAACUGUUAUAUAUAUAUAUAUAUAUAUAUAUUCAGGAUAAAUGAAAAAACAAUUAUGUACAUUUUCUCAUAAUUAAAUGGAUGAGUUCUUCAUGUUUUUAAUCGAGAUCAAUUACCAAUUGGUGACAAUAUUAGAGGUUGGGGUACGGUGUUAAUCAAACUUGUGUCUCAUAUGGAGAACUGGAUGAGACUCGAUAAAUGAGUAUCUUUGUGCCUAUAUUCCUACCGUUUGCCUAGACUACAUGCACCUUUUCAACGAUUUCGGCCAACUACCGACUGGACAAACACAUUAGAGAGAUUGACCUCAACAAUCUUAAAUACACAACAUUCUCUUUUCCUUCAGUUGAAGUUCCAGGUCACAGUGACACAGCUCUGGUAAGAGAGAAAUGAUUGGCAUCAGUAGGUUUACCAUUCGAAUUCUCAGCUUACUCUAAUCAUUGACAUGAAAUUAGGAAUCGACUGCAUUUGAUUUCCUAUCAGGUCAUCAUGGAUUACCAUGUAAUUCUCUGUUUAAGUUUCAUUUACAAGUUUAGCCAGAGCCGUGCUACUGUAUAUGAAUACCGGAUGACUAAAAAAUGUCGAAUACGUAUAAAACAAAACUUUUCAAAGUAAUAAACACCAUCGUCUUAAAAAAAAAGGACUGAGCAACAAACAAUUAGCUCCAUAAAUACAUGGGUGAAGCUAAAUAAAAAAGGAGCAUUACUUGUAACAACAAGAUUAAUUCACACAUCUCACAUUCAAAUGUUUAUUUAUUUAUUUAUAUUUAGAAAUUUCCCCUGUUCCAGACUAAUAAUUUUAUAAGAGCUACAAUACAGGUUUCACAAAUGCACAAUCACAAGAAUUCGUGCUCCAUAUAAAUUGCGAUUUAGAGCAUCAAUGUUUAGAGCGCGGUUGCGGCCAUAUAGCUUUUGCGAUACGCGGCUGCAUUUGCUGGAAACAACAUUUGGCUAACUCCUUCAGCUUUGAGAUUGGGAACCAACAUUUUCAAGGCCAACUAGAUAUUAGCAAACAAGAAAAAGGGUUAAGAAAGAAAUAAUUCUAUAGAAAAAUUUUGAUAUAAAGAGAGAUAUAUUGACUUACACCAAAAAGCUUGAGGCUAUGCCAAAUGCGAAGGGGAGAGGGAAAUGGAGAGAGAAGUUGGCCAAUAGAAGAUAUAGUGAUAGCACAUAGAUGAUAGAUAAGAGAGAGCGGACGAGGAUUCAUGCCGCCGAGCAAAGCCAUCAUCCCUGACGUGCGAAACCCACCACUACAAAGGUAAUCAUAGACACCCUGUCUCAUUGCCUCUUUUGCUUCGUCCGUUGAUCCAAUUAGCACUUGAGAAAAUGCAUUUCCUAAUGUAUUAACCGUCGCUGACAUUGGCUUCACCAUAAAAAAUCAUGUAUAGUUAUAAAAAAGAGUUGUAAAUCACUUUUGAUCAAAUUUUUAUGUUUUAGAUUAAAAUGUACAUAUGCUCACCUUGCGAAUACUAUAAAAAGAAUUGAUAACUUCUGAGACUUUGUUAGCAUCGCCGAG
rnacentral:lncRNA from 1 species